rnacentral:rRNA from 1 species
CUGCUGCCUUCCGUAGGAGUUUGGGCCGUGUCUCAGUCCCAAUGUGGCCGUUCACCCUCUCAGGCCGGCUACUGAUCGUCGCUUUGGUGGGCCGUUACCCCGCCAACUGGCUAAUCAGACGCGGAUCCAUCGUAUACCACCGGAGUUUUUCACACUGUUCCAUGCGGAACCGUGCGCUUAUGCGGUAUUAGCACCUAUUUCUAAGUGUUAUCCCCCUGUAUACGGCAGGUUAUCCACGCGUUACUCACCCGUCCGCCACUAACCCA